CGGGGGGGCGAGCGUUGUUCGGAAUUACUGGGCGUAAAGGGCGCGUAGGCGGUCCGCUAAGUCGGAUGUGAAAACUCUGGGCUCAACCCAGAGCCUGCAUCCGAAACUGACGGGCUAGAGUUCUGGAGGGGUAGCGGAAUUCCUGGUGUAGCGGUGAAAUGCGUAGAUAUCAGGAGGAACACCGGUGGCGAAGGCGGCUACCUGGACAGAAACUGACGCUGAGGCGCGAAAGCUAGGGGAGCAAACAGGAUUAGAUACCCUGGUAGUCCUAGCCCUAAACGAUGGAUACUUGGUGUGACGGGGAUUGAAUCCCGUCGUGCCGAAGCUAACGCAUUAAGUAUCCCGCCUGGGGAGUACGGUCGCAAGGCUG
rnacentral:rRNA from 1 species